rnacentral:rRNA from 1 species
UCCUGGUGGCGAGUGGCGAACGGGUGAGUAAUAUAUCGGAACGUGCCCAGUCGUGGGGGAUAACGCAGCGAAAGCUGUGCUAAUACCGCAUACGAUCUACGGAUGAAAGCGGGGGAUCGCAAGACCUCGCGCGAUUGGAGCGGCCGAUAUCAGAUUAGCUAGUUGGUGGGGUAAAAGCCCACCAAGGCGACGAUCUGUAGCUGGUCUGAGAGGACGACCAGCCACACUGGAACUGAGACACGGUCCAGACUCCUACGGGAGGCAGCAGUGGGGAAUUUUGGACAAUGGGCGCAAGCCUGAUCCAGCAAUGCCGCGUGCAGGAUGAAGGCCUUCGGGUUGUAAACUGCUUUUGUACGGAACGAAACGGCGAGCUCUAAUAAAGUUCGCUAAUGACGGUACCGUAAGAAUAAGCACCGGCUAACUACGUGCCAGCAGCCGCGGUAAUACGUAGGGUGCGAGCGUUAAUCGGAAUUACUGGGCGUAAAGCGUGCGCAGGCGGUUAUAUAAGACAGAUGUGAAAUCCCCGGGCUCAACCUGGGACCUGCAUUUGUGACUGUAUAGCUAGAGUACGGUAGAGGGGGAUGGAAUUCCGCGUGUAGCAGUGAAAUGCGUAGAUAUGCGGAGGAACACCGAUGGCGAAGGCAAUCCCCUGGACCUGUACUGACGCUCAUGCAC